GGGCCCGCACAAGCGGUGGAGCAUGUGGUUUAAUUCGACGCAACGCGUAGAACCUUACCAGGGCUUGACAUGUACAUGAAAUCCCUAUGAAAGUAGGGACCUCCUUCGGGACAUGUACACAGGUGUUGCAUGGCUGUCGUCAGCUCGUGUCGUGAGAUGUUGGGUUAAGUCCCGCAACGAGCGCAACCCUUGUCCAUAGUUACCAUCAUUCAGUUGGGGACUCUAUGGAGACUGCCUCGGUUAACGAGGAGGAAGGUGAGGAUGACGUCAAGUCAUUAUGGCCCUUACGCCCUGGGCCACACACGUGCUACAAUGGUAGGUACAAAGGGACGCCAAACCGCAAGGUGGAGCAAAUCCCAGAAAACCUGCCCCAGUUCAGAUCGUGGGCUGCAACUCGCCCACGUGAAGUUGGAAUCGCUAGUAAUGGCGGAUCAGCUACGCCGCCGUGAAUACGUUCCCGGGCCUU
rnacentral:rRNA from 1 species